CCUUCGAUAGCUCAGUUGGUAGAGCGGUGGACUGUAGUUGUUUGACUGCUUAUGCAAAAAGAGACAUCCAUAGGUCGCUGGUUCAAAUCCGGCUCGAAGGA
rfam:Solenopsis invicta Si_gnG.contig25878, whole genome shotgun sequence.